UACGGAGGAUGCAAGCGUUAUCCGGAAUCAUUGGGCGUAAAGCGUCCGCAGGUGGCACUUCAAGUCUGUCGUCAAAGACUGGGGCUUAACCCUGGAAAGGCGGUGGAAACUGAAGCGCUAGAGUGCGGUAGGGGUAGAGGGAAUUCCCGGAGUAGUGGUGAAAUGCGUAGAGAUCGGGAGGAACACCGGUGGCGAAGGCGGCCAGCUGGCGCUGACCUGACGCUGAGGCGCGAAGGCAUGGGGAGCGAACGGG
rnacentral:rRNA from 1 species